UCAAGCUACUAAGGGCAUACGGUGGAUGCCUAGGCGCCAAGAGCCGAAGAAGGACGCGGUAAGCUGCGAAAAGCCACGGGGAACUGCAAGCAAGUAUUGAUCCGUGGAUAUCCGAAUGGGGAAACCCGGCCAUCGUCAUGGAUGGUCACCCGCAAGGGAGGGAACCUGGGGAACUGAAACAUCUAAGUACCCGGAGGAAGAGAAAUCAAACGAGAUGCCCACAGUAGCGGCGAGCGAAGAGGGCAGAGCCCAAACCGAGAAGCUCCGGCUUUUCGGGGUUGAGGACCGGCAGAAUCGAAGUCAGGCCUAGUUGAAUUACCUGGAAAGGUAAGCGAGAGAGGGUAAAAGCCCCGUAGACGAAAGGCAGAGCAGAGAGGCCGAGAUCCAGAGUACCACGAAGCACGAGGAAUUUUGUGGGAAGCAGGGGGGACCACCCUCCAAGGCUAAAAACUACUUGGCGACCGAUAGCGCAUAGUACCGUGAGGGAAAGGUGAAAAGAACCCCGGGAGGGGAGUGAAAUAGAACCUGAAACCCUGCACUUACAAGCUGUGGGAGCACAUUACUUGUGUGACCGCGUACUUUUUGUAGAACGGGCCAACGAGUUACGUUAAGUAGCAAGGUUAAGCACUUAAGGUGUGGAGCCGUAGCGAAAGCGAGUCUUAAAUGGGCGAUUAAGUUACUUGGCGUAGACCCGAAACCGGGCGACCUAUCCAUGAGCAGGUUGAAGCGAAAGUAAAAUUUCGUGGAGGACCGAACCCACGAGCGUUGAAAAGCUCGGGGAUGACUUGUGGAUAGCGGUGAAAUUCCAAUCGAGCCCGGAGAUAGCUGGUUCUCCCCGAAAUAGCUUUAGGGCUAGCCUCAAGCGUAGAGAAACGGAGGUAGAGCACUGAAUGUCCUAGGGGGUAUUGCACUUACCGAAGACUAUCAAACUCCGAAUGCCGUUUUCUUUUACUUGGGAGUCAGACUGUGGGUGAUAAGAUUCAUAGUCAAAAGGGCAACAGCCCAGAUCGUCAGCUAAGGUCCCUAAAUGUACGUUAAGUGGUAAAGGAUGUGGGAUUGCACAGACAACCAGGAUGUUGGCUUAGAAGCAGCCACUCAUUUAAAGAGUGCGUAAUAGCUCACUGGUCGAGUGAUCCUGCGCCGAAAAUUUCCGGGGCUAAAACGUACUACCGAAGCUACGGCAUCAUUUAUGAUGGGUAGGGGAGCUUCGUAUGCAGGCUGAAGCAUGACCGUAAGGACAUGUGGACAGUAUACGAGUGAGAAUGUUGGCAUGAGUAGCGAGACGUGGGUGAGAAUCCCACGGGCCGUAAACCCAAGGUUUCCAGGGGAAGGUUCGUCCGCCCUGGGUUAGUCGGGACCUAAGCCGAGGCCGAAAGGCGUAGGUGAUGGACAACAGGUUGAUAUUCCUGUACCGCCAAUAAGCGUUUGAGAGAUGGAGUGACACAGUAGGAUAAGCUAACCGUACUGUUGGUUAUGUACGGCUAAGCAUUGAGGCAGUCUAAAUAGGCAAAUCCGUUUAGACAAUGCUAGGAUGUGAUGGGGAAGCCCUCCGGGGCGAAGUAGCUGAUUUCACACUGUCAAGAAAAGCUUCUAUCGAGUUUAAAGGCGCCCGUACCGUAAACCGACACAGGUGGGUGAGGAGAGUAUCCUAAGGCCAGCGAGAGAACUAUUGUUAAGGAACUCGGCAAAAUGACCCCGUAACUUAGGGAGAAGGGGUGCCUGUCUAUGACAGGCCGCAGAGAAUAGGCCCAAGCGACUGUUUACCAAAAACACAGGUUUCUGCUAAGUCGCAAGACGAUGUAUAGGAGCUGACGCCUGCCCGGUGCUGGAAGGUUAAGGGGAUCUGUUAGAGCAAUCGAAGCAGUGAACUUAAGCCCCAGUAAACGGCGGCCGUAACUAUAACGGUCCUAAGGUAGCGAAAUUCCUUGUCGGGUAAGUUCCGACCCGCACGAAAGGCGUAACGAUUUGGGCACUGUCUCAACAAUAGACUCGGUGAAAUUGUAAUCCCGGUGAAGAUGCCGGGUACCUGCGACAGGACGGAAAGACCCCAUGGAGCUUUACUGUAGCUUGACGUUGGGUCUUGGUACUACAUGUACAGGAUAGGUGGGAGACUAUGAAGCAUGGACGCCAGUCUGUGUGGAGUCAUCCUUGGGAUACCACCCUUGUAGUACUGGGAUCCUAACCAUAGGCCUUGAAUCAGGUCUUGGAACACCGUCAGGUGGGCAGUUUGACUGGGGCGGUCGCCUCCUAAAAAGUAACGGAGGCGCUCAAAGGUUUCCUCAGCACGGUCGGAAAUCGUGCGAAGAGUGUAAAGGCAAAAGGAAGCUUGAUUGCAAGACAUACAGGUCGAGCAAGGACGAAAGUCGGACUUAGUGAUCCGGUGGUACCGCAUGGAAGGGCCAUCGCUCAACGGAUAAAAGCUACCCUGGGGAUAACAGGCUUAUC
rnacentral:rRNA from 1 species